AGAGUUUGAUCCUGGCUCAGGAUGAACGCUAGCUACAGGCUUAACACAUGCAAGUCGAGGGGAAACGAUAUUGGAAGCUUGCUUCCGAUAGGCGUCGACCGGCGCACGGGUGAGUAACGCGUAUCCAACCUGCCCACCACUUGGGGAUAACCUUGCGAAAGUAAGACUAAUACCCAAUGACGUCUCUAGAAGACAUCUGAAGGAGAUUAAAGAUUUAUCGGUGAUGGAUGGGGAUGCGUCUGAUUAGCUUGUUGGCGGGGUAACGGCCCACCAAGGCAACGAUCAGUAGGGGUUCUGAGAGGAAGGUCCCCCACAUUGGAACUGAGACACGGUCCAAACUCCUACGGGAGGCAGCAGUGAGGAAUAUUGGUCAAUGGGCGAGAGCCUGAACCAGCCAAGUAGCGUGCAGGAAGACGGCCCUAUGGGUUGUAAACUGCUUUUAUAAGGGAAUAAAGUUAGUCUCGUGAGACUUUUUGCAUGUACCUUAUGAAUAAGGACCGGCUAAUUCCGUGCCAGCAGCCGCGGUAAUACGGAAGGUCCGGGCGUUAUCCGGAUUUAUUGGGUUUAAAGGGAGCGUAGGCCGGAGAUUAAGCGUGUUGUGAAAUGUAGACGCUCAACGUCUGCACUGCAGCGCGAACUGGUUUCCUUGAGUACGCACAAAGUGGGCGGAAUUCGUGGUGUAGCGGUGAAAUGCUUAGAUAUCACGAAGAACUCCGAUUGCGAAGGCAGCUCACUGGAGCGCAACUGACGCUGAAGCUCGAAAGUGCGGGUAUCGAACAGGAUUAGAUACCCUGGUAGUCCGCACGGUAAACGAUGGAUGCCCGCUGUUGGUCUGAACAGGUCAGCGGCCAAGCGAAAGCAUUAAGCAUCCCACCUGGGGAGUACGCCGGCGACGGUGAAACUCAAAGGAAUUGACGGGGGCCCGCACAAGCGGAGGAACAUGUGGUUUAAUUCGAUGAUACGCGAGGAACCUUACCCGGGCUCAAACGCAGGGGGAAUGCCGGUGAAAGUCGGCAGCUAGUAAUAGUCACCUGCGAGGUGCUGCAUGGUUGUCGUCAGCUCGUGCCGUGAGGUGUCGGCUUAAGUGCCAUAACGAGCGCAACCCCUAUCGACAGUUACUAACGGGUGAAGCCGAGGACUCUGUCGAGACUGCCGGCGCAAGCCGCGAGGAAGGUGGGGAUGACGUCAAAUCAGCACGGCCCUUACGUCCGGGGCGACACACGUGUUACAAUGGCAGGUACAGAAGGCAGCCAGUCAGCAAUGACGCGCGAAUCCCGAAAACCUGUCUCAGUUCGGAUUGGAGUCUGCAACCCGACUCCAUGAAGCUGGAUUCGCUAGUAAUCGCGCAUCAGCCAUGGCGCGGUGAAUACGUUCCCGGGCCUUGUACACACCGCCCGUCAAGCCAUGGAAGCCGGGAGUACCUGAAGCAUGCAACCGCAAGGAGCGUACGAAGGUAAUACCGGUAACUGGGGCUAAGUCGUAACAAGGUA
rnacentral:rRNA from 1 species